UCAACCUGUCCAAUAAUAGAAUUUAUGAUUCAGCAUAAAUUCGGUUAUUAGUGUAAGCAUAGAUUACUUGUGUUAUUAGCUGUUUCACCUCUAUUAAAUGUAGGCUAUCAGAUGUAUGUUUGUCAAUGCGCAAUAUGACUGCGCACGCGAUCUUUUUCAUUCCGACAUUUGAAAGAAACAGACGGAAUAUUAUUUGGUGAUUUAAAGAUUUAAAGAAAAUUAUUUUGGUGAUUAAAAAGAUAUAGGAUCCACAAUGUGCAGGUUUUGGUACCACUUUUCUACAAUUGGAACUCAGUUGUUUGGCACUAAGAUGAAUACAAGAAGGUCAUCAAAAAGAUGGAAAGCCACUGCAACAUUAGAAGCUGCAUCAAGACAAGAGGAAACAUAACUUUAACCAGGAUCAGUACCAGCAUCUAACGAUCCCCCAACUUCAGGAGGAUAAUUGUUCUUUUGAUGUAGUAUAUCGACCAGGUAAUGCAAUCGGUAAAGAUCAUUCCAAUCUCACGCAAACAACUAGUUACUCUCCUAGUCUUAAUUAAGAUGUUAGUCAGUACUUAAAAUAAAAAAAAAAAAAUCAAACGGGCGAGUUAGGAACAACUCUAUAAUUGAUAAUGACCAGCAAAAAGUGUCAUUUGAACAGGGGAAACUUGUUAUUUAACCAGUUUUGCCUCAUACAAAAAUAACAAAUAAAGAAAUUGAACUUGAGUAUAUAUAUUGUUGCUGAGAUAUUUUUGCAGUGGAAUUAAGGUUGAUAUAAAGUUCGACGGUUUGGGACUAGGCAUUGGACAAUUGUGUUAAUAUAGCAGUAUUAUUAUAUCCUCAAUCGAUUUGGCUGUCAUUAAAACGAUAUUAUGUUAUCUACGUUUAAUGUUUACAAUAUAUACUUGAUAGUCCUUGUACAACUGUUCACAUUAUUUAACACACAUUUCGAUGUUUCUCUUUCGAAUACAAAAUCUUUCUAAUGAGAUAUGUUACAGUUUGAGAUAAUAAAUUCCUAACGUAAUGUAUCUACAAGCUGCGAUGCCGAUUACGAUUUGAACUUUUCUUGACCUUAGAAAUGAUAUAUAGUAAAUGUAAGGAAACCGUUAACUCUCUGAAAUUGUAAAUUCAUGUCAACGAUUUGCAGACGAUAAUCUUUUCAAAGAUUAAAACUUUUGGUGAUCAAGUUUGUAAAAGUAACUUGCAAUUGAAAAUAGUGUACAAACGAUCUCUACGCUAGUGAUUAAUACUAAAAAAAAAAAAACAUAUUCUAAUAAAUGAACUAAAUUACAAAUAAUAUUGUCAUCUCGCCAGGUAUCAAGAAAAAUAUAUAUAUUAUUGAAAUCCAUUUAAUUUUAUCUAAGACUGACCUGUGCUUCGAAGGAACCACACACGUUAUUGAUGAGCGGCCUAGAGAUGCUUAUCCUAUUUUUGCUUAAACGUAAUAACUUACUAUUUACAAGUUUAGACCUGUCGCUGGUCAAUUGCUUUGUUAUAAGUCCCCUACCGAUUGAGUUUAAGGGGGCCUAAGGUUCUCACUAUGUUCGUCUGUCUGUCUGUCCACCUGUCAAUCCGGCAAAUCAGUCUUCUACAUUUUUCUUUUUGGUGCUUGAAGAUAUCGAUUUGAUAUUUGGUGUAUUGUUUUAUCAUGAUAAGUUACAGACCAAGUAUGAAUGUUGUUCCGGUCUGAUGAUUUUGUGCAGAGUUGUAGUCAAAUACACACAAAUUAUUAGUUUUCCACACAUUUUUUCGUCAUACUUGAAGACGUUGAUUUGAUAAUUGGUAUAUAGUUUUAUCGUGACAAGUUACAGAUCAGGUUCGAAUUGUGUUCCGGUCUGAUGAUUUUGUGCAAACUAUGGUCCUUGGACUAAGAGAAUUCAUUAAAAUAAUCAGUUGUCUAAUGGCGGUUGACCCGACAGUCAUUUAUGACUGUCUUGGUCAAUUUGGCACAUUUCGCUGAGUUUCCUUUAAAUAUGCGUCAUUUGGCGUCAUAUUUCAUUUAGCAUCCAAAACAUUUGAUAUUGUGGGUCUCUGUAUCCCAGGACCACCACACAAAAAUUUACGAAUCUCUGUUUCCCAGGAUUCAUUUAAUUGGAUGCUUAAUUUAUUGUAAAGAAUUAGUUAUCUAGUUAUCUAUCUAUCUAUCUAGUUAUCUUUUUGUAGUCUGCCAAUAUGAAAGGUGACUACGUUUAAUUAAUUAUCUAUUUACUAUAUAUAUAUCUUAAUUAUUUAUCUAUUUAUUUAUCUAGUUAUCGUGUCGUAGUUUGCCAAUAUGAAAGGUGACUACGUUAAUUCAAAUAUCUAUUUACUAUAUACAUAUAUAUAUCUUAACUGUUUACCUAGUUAUAUGUGUUUAUAAUUUUAUAAUAAAGCUGUGGCCAAAUACUGCCAA